rnacentral:tRNA from 1 species
GCCGGGGUGGCCGAGCGGACCAAGGCGGUGGACACUUGGAGCCACACUCGAGAUCUGUCCGCGAGGCAUCCACUGCCCGUUAAGGGUGCCCGGGUUCGAAUCCCGGCCCCGGCG